CGUGGUAAUUCUAGAGCUAAUACAUGCUGAAAACCCCGACUCCGGAAGGGGCGUGUUUAUUAGAUACAGAACCAAUGCCCUCUGGGCUCACUGGUGAUUCAGAAUAACCUCUCGAAUCGCACGGCCUUGCGCCGGCGAUGGCUCAAUCAAGUUUCUGCCCUAUCAACUUUCGACGGCUGGGUACGGGCCAGCCGUGGUGACAACGGGUAACGGAGGGUUAGGGCUCGACCCCGGAGAGUCCGCCUGAGAGACGGCGAACACAUCCAAGGAAGGCAGCAGGCGCGCAAAUUACCCAAUCCCGACGCGGGGAGGUAGUGACGAUAAAUACUGAUACAGGGCUCUUUUGGGUCUUGUAAUUGGAAUGAGUACAACUCAAAUCCCUUAACGAGGAACAAUUGGAGGGCAAGUCUGGUGCCAGCAGCCGCGGUAAUUCCAGCUCCAAUAGCGUAUAUUAAAGUUGUUGCAGUUAAAAAGCUCGUAGUUGAUCAUCGGGCCUGGCCGCCCGGUCUGCCUCACCGCAUGCACUGGCGCGGCCGGGCCUUCUCCUCUGGGGAGCCGCAUGUCCUUCACUGGUCGUGCCGGGGAACCAGGGCCUUUACUGUGAAAAAAUUAGAGUGUUCAAAGCAGGCCUAUGCUCGAAUACAUUAGCAUGGAAUAAUAGAAUAGGACGCGUGGUUCUAUUUUGUUGGUUUCUAGGACCGCCGUAAUGAUUAAUAGGGACAGUCGGGGGCAUCAGUAUUCAGCCGUCAGAGGUGAAAUUCUUGGAUCGGCUGAAGACUAACUACUGCGAAAGCAUUUGCCAAGGAUGUUUUCAUUAAUCAGGAACGAAAGUUAGGGGAUCGAAAACGAUCAGAUACCGUUGUAGUCCUAACCAUAAACUAUGCCGACUGGGGAUCGGGCGGCGCUAUUUCUUGGCCCGCCCGGCACCCUGCGCGAAAGCAAAGUGUUUGGGUUCUGGGGGGAGUACGGUCGCAAGGCUGAAACUUAAAGAAAUUGACGGAAGGGCACCACAAGGGG
rnacentral:rRNA from 1 species